GAUGAACGCUAGCGGCAGGCCUAACACAUGCAAGUCGAGGGAGAAGCCCUUUCGGGGGCAGAAACCGGCGCACGGGUGCGUAACGCGUAUGCAACCUACCUUUCACAGGGGGAUAGCCCGAAGAAAUUUGGAUUAAUACUCCAUAAUAUUAUUGGAUGGCAUCAUUUGAUAAUUAAAACUGCGGUGGUGAAAGAUGGGCAUGCGUCCUAUUAGCUAGUUGGAGUGGUAACGGCACCCCAAGGCUACGAUAGGUAGGGGUCCUGAGAGGGAGAUCCCCCACACUGGUACUGAGACAGGGACCAGAAUCCUACGGAGGGCAGCAGUGAGGAAUAUUGGUCAAUGGUCGGUAGACUGACCCAGCCAUGCCGCGUGCAGGAAGAAUGCGUUAUGGGUUGUAAACUGCUUUUAUAUGAGAAGAAUAAGGCGUACGUGUACGUUGAUGACGGUACCAUAUGAAUAAGCAUCGGCUAACUCCGUG
rnacentral:rRNA from 1 species